CUGAUGAUCCAUCGAAUAUACAGGAAUGUAUGAUAGAUGCAGAAUCACCGAAGGGUCGAUUUAGAAGUAAUCGAAGGCUGGAGGAAACAUAUGCAAUGUGUUGAACGCCACCAAAAACAAGAAAAAAA
rnacentral:lncRNA from 13 species